UACGUAGGUGGCGAGCGUUAUCCGGAUUUAUUGGGCGUAAAGGGUGCGCAGGCGGUUUAUUAAGUCUAAAAUAAAAGCCCGAAGCUUAACUUCGGUUCGUUUUAGAAACUGAUAGACUUGAGUAUGGUAGAGGCAAAUGGAAUUCCUAGUGUAGCGGUGGAAUGCGUAGAUAUUAGGAGGAACACCAGUGGCGAAGGCGAUUUGCUGGGCCAUUACUGACGCUCAUGCACGAAAGCGUGGGGAGCAAAUAGG
rnacentral:rRNA from 1 species